GGGGAUUUAGCUCAGCGGCAUAAGCACCUGCCUUGCAAGCAGGUGGUCGUGAGUUCACGAUCCCUG
rnacentral:tRNA from 1 species